rnacentral:miRNA from 10 species
CUGUGAAGAUGCCAGCUGCAGUUGGGGAGGUCUGGCUGGGGUUGUGCACUCCAAAGAGCCAGCAGGGGCCAGGAACAGG